GUGCUAUGAUUAGUAGCACAUGUAAAAAACUGGGAACGAUACAGAGAAGAUUAGCAUGGCCCUGUGCAAGGAUGACACGCAUGAUCGUGAAGCGUUCUCAUUUUUA